rnacentral:rRNA from 1 species
AUCUCCUCCCCUCGUUUCUCGCAUCGCCACCACCACACACUCACUGCCCUGCCUCUCCCACCCUGAUCCAUCCCCUCCACUCGUCUCUCGAAUCGCCGCCUCCACCCACUCACCACCCCGCCUCUCCCACAGCUCGCCGCUGGCAGCCUCUCCCCUCCCAUGUGCUUCCCACAGACCUCAGGCGGAUCCCCACCCAUCCAUCUCUCUCUCAUGCAACUUUUCUCUCUCUGUCGGGACACAUCUCUGCCGCCACAGAUGCCAGCCGAUUCCGGCGUUCUCCGGCGACAGCCGCCACCGCGCAACACCUUCCCAAGCUCACCUUGCUCCAUUGGGUCUUUUCCCCCGGCGGGAUUCGCCGCUCCUGGCCUUCAACUCUCACCCGCAACCCUCCAUGUGGCUAGGUUUCAGGCACGGUGGCACCUCCAUCGUAGGCGCGGCUCUGGCAACCCGGGGGCUCCUCCCCGACUCUUACCUCGCCCCCGCAUUCAACAAAGCCCCUUGGAUGGUGCUCCUCUCCCCGGUAGCCAUAGGGUGCUCGAGCUCCUCCUCCACACGCGCCAGGUGUUCUUCCUCGACCCGGACAGUGAGGGAUUCCUUCUGGGCAUAUACGCAGCGCCUGCACUUCUUUGAGCCAAAGCCAAUCGACGCGCAGAUUGUCAUCUCAUUUGGGUUUCUCAAUGGGAUCUCCAUUGGCCUCCACAACCUUUGCCUUGGCUUCUACCAGAUGACCAAGCUGGCUAUUAUACCGUUCACCAUGCUCUUGGAGACCAUCUUUCUGAGCAAGAAGUUCAGGUUGAUGUGUGCCGCUCAGAUGGAACCUUCGCCAGGGCCGCUAUUCCCAGCGGUGCAUCAACAAGUUCUGGAUGUCGCUGGGUUUAUUAAGCUGUUACUUGCCACUGUUCAAUUUUUUGAAAGAACAAUGUUGUAUUGAAUAUCUGCAAAAUUACACCUGCAUGUUCUUACUAGAGAAUUUAAGUUCUAGUUUGAAAGAAAAUUUAGUUCAUCGUGCACCAUUCUUUGUCUAGAGUGAGUGUGAUUAUCUGAAUUCACGUACAAGUACUGCAUUCCCUACUGCAUAUGUUUUGAGGAGACGCCCAGCAGCUGGCAGUAGUGGAUAUAUAGAUUCUUCCCUUGCUUUUAACUAAUUGCCUCAAACUGUACAUCCCUGGUUGACAGUCAUGAACUUUUAUUGUUGGUAAUCUAAAAUAUUCUGCAUAUUUAAGUGUCCAAAUACAGUCCAAAGAUAAAUCUUAGCUAUAAAUAUUCUGCAUAUAUAGUGUUCAAUUUGAUCAAUAAGAUCUGAGUUUGUUGUACUAUUAAUGGUGAUAAGAUUGCUGCUAGUAUAUUCUGUACAUUUCUUGUUUGGGGCUGGGCUAGAAAACAAUGUCUGAUUCGUUUAGCCGGUUGACAGGCUAAAACAACUAGCUAUAAAAUGACAUCAAGUUCUGGUUUACAUGCUAUUCUCGUCAUUCAUGCCGACAGACCUUUUGUUGUAGUGUUUAGAGUAGAUUGAGUUUGCUGGCUCUCCUUUGUGUUUCUGUUCUUAUUUUGGACAGAUGCUUGGGGUGCAUACUUUCUAGAAUCUGCAUUUGAAUUUGCAGUUCGCGUUGUCGAAGAGAAUUGUCGAUUGUUUGAUUGAUGUUCUGACUUUUAUGUGGACCAGACGUCCAUUCUCUAAAUCAUUAUUUUAAUCCCACUACCCUUUUUGUAUCCAUGUACUGUUUAUCUUGUUUAAGCAUUAAUCCAUACUUUUCUUUCAGCAAUGGCAACACAAGCAGGAACCUCGGCUACUCCUCAUUUAAGUCCCCAAGUGGUAGCUUUCUCUGUAUGCGGGAGUCACCAUCUAGGCAUGCUUGCUGCUUCACCAGAAUGUUGCAUUGUUCUUUAAUUGUCGAUUGUCUGUGUAGAUUGACUGUAUCGAGUUGAGGGCUUGAGGCAGGCAGUAGGUGAUUAGAACAACCACCUGUUAAGUAAGAUCGGGUGUAGUGUAUGCUUUGAACAUAAGCUUGUGCUGAUGCCAGUGUAGUGUAGUGUAUGCUCUGAACACAAGAUCCUUUACUUGCUCUGGUUUGGUUAAGACUGAUUAUACUCUUCUGAAUAUUGCUUCCAUAACUGAAACUUUUUCAAGUGCAGCAGUAGUGUAGCAAGUGCAGCAGUAGUGCACUGCUCUUGUUAGCAAGUGCGGCAGCAGUAGUAUAGGAGUAGUAGUGGAGGAGUAUGAAUACAAAAAUGAUCAUACAAAUCGCCAUGUUCUCACAUUCUCCUGGAUUUCAUUUACAUCAACUUCUCAAGAGAGGAGUACUCCUUUUUAGUAUUCUCAGUUUAAAGUAAAUUAAAUGAAAGGAGUACUCCUUUUCAGCAGUCUCAUUUUAAAGUAAAUGAAAGGAGUACAAAUGCAUUUACAAAUAAAGUAAAUGAAAGGAGUACAAAUGCAUUUACAAAAAUAUGGAUUAAUUUCACAUAUCCUCCUUUGAAAACAUAUGGAUUAAUUUUCAGUAGUCUCAGUUUAAAGUAAAUGAAAGCACACACACACACACACGUUUGUGGAUUCUACUAUAGCAGUAGUACUCUCUUUUCUGUGAAUUUAACUAAAACAUUGUGCUUGCUUUCUUGCUGGAGUACUUGAAUUGAAACCUUUUACUGUUAAUUAAAAAUAAAUGAAACAAUUUCAUUUAUUUUAAAAUAAAGAAACUUCUUCUUUUCUCUUCUUCUCUCUUCUUUGUGUUAAUUAAAAUUAUCUGAAACAUUUUUUGUUAAUUAACUGAAACCAUUUUACUAGACGACUUGCGGGCAGUAGUGCUUGCUCUUUGGUUUAAUUUUCUACUUGCUGUUUGGUUUAAUUUUCUGCAGUGUAGGAGUAGUCUAGUCCACUGCUCUUGUUCGCAAGUGCAGCAGCAGUAGUGUAGGAGUAUUCUUGCUCUCUUCUCUGCCCUCCAUAUGAAACAAGCAGCAGCAACAACAACAGUAGUGUAUGAUUAUUAGUGCUUCCCUUUAACUCCAAUUCCAGAAACAAAUGAAACCAAAUGAAACUUUUUCUUUAACUGAAACUUUUGUACUGCUGCUUUUGCAAAUCAAAUUCAUGUUGCUGCUGGUGCUUCUCAGUUUGGUUAGUGCUUCCCUUCUUGGUUGGCUAAACAUAUCAGUUUGUUUGAUUUGGAGCAUUAGAUGCUCUCCAUCAACGAUUGGGACCCCAUGCCUAAGCUGUUGAUUGCCUAAUUUCAUUCAUCGUCUCCAGAAUAUAUUCAUUUGAUUGCCUGCUACAUCUCCACUUAAAUACUCAUAAUGCUACUAUUUGGAUUUUGUUCUAUUGGACUGCCUAUAUAUCUCUUGUUGAAAUUGUGGUCUUGAUAUUUUGUUAAACCUGAGACAUCAUGCAUAACUAGCUCUUCGUGCUACUAGUGUUUCCUGUCAAGUAGUGUUUGCUUGGUGACAGGAUGUUGUUUUUUCCUUCCAAGUAUAAUGCACCUUUCAUGUAGUGAUGAUACUAUAUCUAUUUCAUUUCAUGUUUAUACCUCUUCCAGAAAAUGUACUGCACCUAUAGUAAUCAAUCUAACUUAUCCAUUUUAUUUUAUAGGCCUUCGAGUACAAGAGGCUGUUGCUUGACUAUAACAGCGAACACGACCAACAAGUUCUGCCAGCGUGGGGCAAGCGAUCGAGGUGGCUGCUGCUGCACAAUAGUUUUAGUUGAUGUUGCCACCAUGUUUUGGUGCCUCUGUAUUUUUUCUGAUUAUCUGUACACUUGAUGGAUCAUGCAGAUGUGCUCUUGUGAGUUUUCAUAGAGUGAUUUUUGGAUUUGAUCAUUUAAUUGUGAGAAUUAUUGAUUGUUGCUAUUGAAAUGUGUAAAAUUGAAAUCUGUGAAUGAAAAAGGCUGAAAGUUCGUUUAUUGGAUCGAAUAA